rnacentral:pre_miRNA from 2 species
UUUGGCAAUGGUAGAACUCACACUGGUGCGGUAGCAGGAUCCGGUGGUUCUAGACUUGCCAACUA